rnacentral:lncRNA from 1 species
AAAUGAUUCCCCAUUCAAACUGCAUACUACUCCACGGUGCGGUUAGAGAAUCAAUCAAUGCUCAAACCUCAAAACACACACAUCGAUCAUUUGAGAACACACUAAACGUGGGAAACAUCUGCCAAAAAUGAUCAUAAAUCUUGCUUGGAAACAGGAAAAGAUGGCAAUGAAGGAUGUUCUAUUUGCGAUGAAGAUAAAGAGAAAACUGUGUUGUUUGUACACAUAUUGUAUUUUGUGUUGCUUGCAUACGAAGUGACGUUCUAGAUGGGAUGGAGUAGUGACGGUUUCUUCAUUCGGGAUGUAGAAAGUGAGGAAACUAUAGUAAUUUGUAUUUGGAUAUUUUGUAUAAUUUUGUAAUAUUUUAUGGCAUUAUAUUUCAUAUUUUUUCUUAUCUUAUUUGUAGA